rnacentral:rRNA from 1 species
AUGACCGGCAAGACAGUCGGACUGGUUGUUGGACGCGAUGAUGAGAUCGACCGUGUUAUUUCCAUCCUCUGCCGCAAGACCAAGAACUGUGCCGCGCUAGUAGGCCACGCGGGGGUUGGCAAGACAGCCAUCGCAGAGGGCCUCGCGCAGCGCAUCGUUACCGGCAAGGUACCUGCUGCGCUUGCCGGGGCACGUGUCGUGGAGAUCGACCUCGGGGCCAUGGUUGCCGGGACCGUGAUGCGCGGUAUGUUUGAGGAGCGAAUGAAAAGCGUGAUAAAGCAGGCGGAGAAUACGGGCAGCAAGAUAAUUCUCUUCAUUGAUGAGAUGCAUGUGCUUCCUCGUGCUGGUGAUAGCCACGGAAAUACAGACGCUUCCAGCUUGCUGAAGCCGGCUUUGGCCCGUGGUCGUAUCCGCUGUGUAGGUGCGACGACUUUUGAUGGUUACCGCAAUUACAUUGAGAAGGAUCCUGCACUCGAGCGGCGAUUCCAGAAGGUGCAUAUCGAGGAGCCAAGCACGCAGGCAACAAUUGGCAUUCUGCGGGGGUUAAAGCAGCAGUUCGAACAGCAUCAUGGCUUGGAAAUCCAAGAUGCUGCUCUUGUUGCUGCUGCGCAGCUUGCUGCCCGCUACAUCACUGGUCGGCAAUUUCCGGAUAAGGCUAUUGAUCUGAUUGAUGAGGCGUGCACUGCCACAAUAAAAAGGGCGAUCUCUGCAGAUCCAAUGAAGGAAGCAGCUGUUGUACCAAAUGAUGUCGCACAAGUUGUGAGCCAAUGGACUGGAAUUCCUGUCUGUACACUUGAGCAAGAAGAGAAGGAUAAGUUAAUCCACCUAGCAGACAGGCUGCAUGAGCGAGUUGUUGGCCAGGAUGAAGCGGUAAAUUUGGUUGCUGAAACAGUGUUAUGUUCUAUGGCUGGCCUUGAUCAUCCCGGUCAACCCAUAGGAUCUUUCCUCUUCUUGGGCUCAACUGGUGUUGGAAAGACAGAGCUUGCAAAAGCUCUCGCCGAACAGCUAUUUGGCAGUGAAAAGAUGUUGGUUCGCUUUGACAUGUCUGAAUAUGUUGGCACUGGAUCUAUUUCGCGCCUCAUUGGAGCACCCCCAAGCCAUGAUGGCUAUGAUGACGGUGGGCAACUGACUGAGAAAGUUAGGAAUCGCCCAUACAGUGUCAUCCUUUUUGAUGAGGUGGAGAAGGCAGAUCCCUCGGUGUUGAACAUUUUUAUUCAACUUCUUGAUGAUGGUGUGUUGACCGAUGGCAAAGGACGGACGGUAGAUUUCAAGAAUACCGUAAUCAUUAUGACCUCAAAUCUAGGAGCAGAGCACCUCACAUCAGGAAUGGCUGGAGAAAUCACAAUGGAUGCUGCACGUGACCUUUUGAUGAAACAGGUUCAGAAACACUUCAAACCUGAGUUCCUCAACAGGCUGAGUGAGAUUGUGGUAUUUGAGCUGCUUUUGCAUGAUAAACUGAAGGAGAUUGUGAAAAUCCAAAUGAAGAGUGUCAUUGCCAGGGUGGCUGACAAGGGCAUCUCUCUUUUGGCAAGUGAUGCUGCGUUGGAUGUCAUUUUAUCGGAAUCAUACAACCCAAUGUACGGUGCAAGGCCCAUAAGGAGAUGGUUGGAGAAGAAUGUGAUGACUAAGCUGUCCCAAAUGCUGGUGAAGGGUGAGGCCAGUGAAGGCUCGACGAUCACCAUUGGUGCUACGGAUAACAGGAAUAUGCUCAAGUAUGAAGUAGCGAAGAAGGCGGAACUUUCCGGUGUCGUUCGCAACACUGACAGCAGUGGUAUGGCGGCUGUGGUGAGUCCCAUAAAAAGAAUUGUCUCUCUGUUAGCGAGGGUGACACUAAAGCAUCCUGACGGGUCUGCGCUCAAGACCUUGUAG